AUGGUUGCUACACAAAACAAACACAUUCUUGUUAUUUUUUUCCUCCUCUGCUUUUUCUCUAUCCAUAUCCAAGUUAGAGCAAGAGUAUUGAAAGAAUUAAGCAACCAAAGUAGUGAGGAUGCUAAUAAAUCUCAACAACAGAAGAAAGUGCAUGCUGACUUGUUUAAGCUAAAAGAAGAAGAAGGUAACGUUGAUUCUCAAGUUUUUGCCAUGGAUUAUACUCCAGCAUCAAGGAAACCACCGAUUCAUAAUUAA